CGCGUAGGCGGUUUUGUAAGUCGGAUGUGAAAUCCCCGGGCUUAACCUGGGAACUGCAUUCGAUACUGCUUAACUAGAGUAUGGUAGAGGGAAGUGGAAUUUCCGGUGUAGCGGUGAAAUGCGUAGAUAUCGGAAGGAACACCAGUGGCGAAGGCGACUUCCUGGGCCAAUACUGACGCUGAGGUGCGAAAGCGUGGGGAGCAAACA
rnacentral:rRNA from 1 species